rnacentral:tRNA from 2 species
UCCUCGAUAGUAUAGUGAUCAGUAUCCCCGCCUGUCACGCGGGAGACCGGGGUUCAAUUCCCCGUCGGGGAG